AGAGUUUGAUCCUGGCUCAGGAUGAACGCUGGCGGCGUGCUAAUACAUGCAAGUCGAGCGAACAGACGAGGAGCUUGCUCCUCUGACGUUAGCGGCGGACGGGUGAGUAACACGUGGAUAACCUACCUAUAAGAUUGGGAUAACUUCGGGAAACCGGAGCUAAUACCGGAUAAUAUAUUGAACCGCAUGGUUCAAUAGUGAAAGACGGUUUUGCUGUCACUUAUAGAUGGAUCCGCGCCGCAUUAGCUAGUUGGUAAGGUAACGGCUUACCAAGGCAACGAUGCGUAGCCGACCUGAGAGGGUGAUCGGCCACACUGGAACUGAGACACGGUCCAGACUCCUACGGGAGGCAGCAGUAGGGAAUCUUCCGCAAUGGGCGAAAGCCUGACGGAGCAACGCCGCGUGAGUGAUGAAGGUCUUCGGAUCGUAAAACUCUGUUAUUAGGGAAGAACAAAUGUGUAAGUAACUAUGCACGUCUUGACGGUACCUAAUCAGAAAGCCACGGCUAACUACGUGCCAGCAGCCGCGGUAAUACGUAGGUGGCAAGCGUUAUCCGGAAUUAUUGGGCGUAAAGCGCGCGUAGGCGGUUUUUUAAGUCUGAUGUGAAAGCCCACGGCUCAACCGUGGAGGGUCAUUGGAAACUGGAAAACUUGAGUGCAGAAGAGGAAAGUGGAAUUCCAUGUGUAGCGGUGAAAUGCGCAGAGAUAUGGAGGAACACCAGUGGCGAAGGCGACUUUCUGGUCUGUAACUGACGCUGAUGUGCGAAAGCGUGGGGAUCAAACAGGAUUAGAUACCCUGGUAGUCCACGCCGUAAACGAUGAGUGCUAAGUGUUAGGGGGUUUCCGCCCCUUAGUGCUGCAGCUAACGCAUUAAGCACUCCGCCUGGGGAGUACGACCGCAAGGUUGAAACUCAAAGGAAUUGACGG
rnacentral:rRNA from 1 species